rfam:Lactobacillus saniviri JCM 17471 = DSM 24301 NODE_78, whole genome shotgun sequence.
GCAUCCUUAGCUCAGCAGGAUAGAGCAACCGCCUCCUAAGCGGUAGGUCAUCGGUUCGAUUCCGAUAGGGUGCA